AGGACAGCAAGCCCUGGAGCUGGUCAUGAAAGAAAACCAACUGUACCUUCUAUUGUAUGAAGUUCAAAACUGGGCAGAACUAGUCUACACUGUUUGAAAUUUUACUGAAGCGAAUCAACCACACAGAAGAGUGUACCACCGACUAAGGGAUACUUGGGGUGCUGGGAACCAGACUUCCUUCGAAGAUGAAUUCAGACUCCUGGCUUGAAGAAAGCAGAAAUAUUUGUUCAAGAUAUAAAAGAGAUGUGAUGUAUCCAAUGGGAAAGAUGUAACAGACAUCAGUGGGGGAAGUAAAGUCUCAGAAGUGGCACUGGUUGUGGAAACAUGUGGAAAUGGUGACAGAGAGCAGAGGGCCCCCCAGCCUGCCUCUGGAGAGAGGUGUAAGGGAUCAUAUGAAGCAAUUCCAGCUCGUGAGAGUUCCGCCUGAAAAUGGGGAAAGGUCUAUUUCCCAGGAGCAUCCGUUCCUGCAAAAGGUUCCACUUGGAGGAAUUCACUAAUGAUACGUAUUGCUAAAUUCAAUUCCAAACUGCCUUCACAAAUUUAUACUCUCCUCACUGUCUGUCUCAGCCCAAUCUCACCAGCAUUAAAUAUGAG
rnacentral:lncRNA from 1 species